rnacentral:tRNA from 1 species
ACCCCCUUAGUAUAAUGUACAAGUGACUUCCACUCACUAAGUCUUAGAGCCAGCCCUAAGAGGGGGGA